UUUAUUUUGACGGGGGUAGUUGGGGGAGGAAUAUCAUUUCUGAAAUGCCCAAGGAAUGAAGGGAGAGGAUAUGGAUUUCUUAAACAGUUUUUGCAAGAGGAGCGGUGACUUGCUCUGCAGCCAUGAUUACCUGGGCUCCUCCAUGGAGAUGACAGUCUGGCCAGAAAUUGAAGGUAGAAAGUGUCUUGAGGCCCUUCAAUCUUGCUGGACUGGCUGUCUCAUCUCCAGACAGAAGAAAAGGCCAUGUAAGUUUACGUAAUGGAUAUUCCCACUUAAAAAUGUGGACCUCUGUGAAGUCAGCAGCCAAGAGAUCCGAUCCAGAGCAUUUUCUGAGUGUCUGCCUCCAUCAGUUAAAGGUUACCCCUGAGGGCCCAGGGUAAUCCAGAGGAUCUCAAAGUAGAAACAGGAGGUAGAAGAGGAGUCCUUGUCAGAGUGAUGAUAAAAUAUGACAGAGAUUUGACCAGCCACUACUGACUUUAGACAGACAAAGACCACCAGCCAAGGAAUGAGGCAGAAGCUGGAAUCCUCAAAGGUAAGUAUUUCCCCUACAGCCUGCAGAAGAAACACGGCCCUCCUGGAAUCUGUUUCGGUUCAAAAACUCUCAGUGAGCCCUUCUGACCUAUUGAAUUAUAAGGUAAUACAUUUGUGUUCUUUUAAGCAAUUGAAUUUGUCUGACUUGUUCCACCAACAAUAGGAAAGUACUACCUGAUGUUUAUUCUCCCAUGUUUCAGAAUAUAAGGACAUAGAACAGGGAGUCUUAUUCAGAACAUAAACAAGGCUGGAAGGAAAACUCAAACCAUAUUGUUUAAAGAUAUAUGGGCAAGAACCAUCUCUAGGGUAUUUCUAUGUUGUUUCAGUGGUUUCAAACAAAUGGAUUUACUUCAGAAAUGACAGCACAGACAACUAAAUAUCUUGAAUGAGAAGUUAGGAGAAUAUUAAAAAAUAAAACCUGGCAAGGGUUUUCUUAUUGCUUAAUAGUCACUCCUACGAUCAUCAUUUCUGCUUACUUUCUAAGAAAGCUACAGCCAGACUUAACAGAGAACUCAUCCCGGAAUUUUUUAUACCAGUCUACGUUCAUCACUUUUUCACCAGUGUAACCCACAAGAGAUCAUCACCUUUUAUUAGCAACUGUGAAGCUGAACCACAGUGCGUUAAUUUUCUAAAUGAGAUAUUGGCGUCAGUAUCACAAAAGGUUCAGAGAAGGUUGAACAUUGUGGCAUCACCAUGGCAACCUGCUGAGAUGUGAGCACCCAGGGGCAAUGGACCACAGGAAACCCAUUAGAAGGCUUUCCUCUGGAGACAUGUUGUUUUUACUCAGCCACUUAAGGAAUGAUCAGGGCCACAAAGUCAAGGAAGCAAUCACUCUUCUCUGGCUGUUGCAAAGAAUGAAAUGGAGUCUCUGAGCUCCUUUACACCCAUUUGCACUGACAUAACCUCAGAAAGGAUUCCCCAUUUCUGACUGGAAAACCACAUUAGCAAAAGAGAAAAAGGUCUUAUAAACACCAAGGGAUAUAACGGUUCAAUGUUAGGUUGUUUGCUCCAAUUUUUAGUUCCUGUAUGGAUUUUGUUUGUUUCUGUUGUUUGUUUUGUCAGAACAGAGGCAAGCAUGUGAACUUGACAUCUGGCGAAAAGUAGUCUAAGGGAUGCAAAUGUAAAUAAGCAGAACAGGGCAGCUUCACUUAGGAGAACUUUGUGAUUAUUCUGGAUAUUCUUACAAGACCUGUCAUUCAUUAUUUCUUUGUAGUUACCAUUCAAAAUCAUAAAAAUAAAGAUACCUAAGGAGAUAACUAAAAAAUAGGAAGAUAGUUAUUAGAAUUCACUGACUUUUAAGAGAUAAUGACACUGUGGAAUUUGCUUUGCUCCUGUUACUUCUGUGCUUUUAAUAUUUUAAUUCAAUCUAACGGGUGGUUUCUACUUCAUAUAUUUUUAUGGUUAACAUUUGGAAACGAGGAGGUUUGACAAAAGCUAGUUAAUGCUAAUCUAUCAGUGUGCCGGGUGCUGAUAUUUUACAAGGGAAAACCAAUUUGCUUAGACUGUUAGCAAAGUAAAGUUCAUACUAGUCAAUGUUUUAUGUGAGCUGCUUUGGGAUGAUUUCUCAAGGACAUAUUAUGCAUUAGCCAAUUAAUAUCACUGACGUCAAUAGAAACCAUAGUUUAGAUUUAUGCUAUCACAUACAUAGGUUAGGGGAAAUUGGUAAUGAGUCACUAACAAAGGUUAAUUCCAGGAAGACCUGAUUAUAUUUGUACAACUACAGAAUGUAACACUACUCUCAGCCUAAAAUUUUCCAAAUUCAUUUUGUUGAUCAAAACAGAUUUAUAACAGAGGUUUAAAUUGUAAUUGCUAUUGUAAAACAGUAACUCAUAAAUCAGAUGGGAACUAAGCUAAUUGGCUAUGUAUAUAUGCACAUAAAUUUGGAAAUUUACAUUUUCUUAAAGUCUGUUAUAGAAAAUAACUUUUAGAAUAAAAUCUACCCGGGAAUUGAAACUUUUUUGUUGAUCUGAAGUCACUUUUGCUUUUGUUUAGGAACAAAAAAUAAUAUGCUUAUAUUGUUCUUAAGAUUAUUAUUUUCUUAUAUUUGAAUAUAAAUACCUGGAAUCGAAACAUGUAUAGGA